UAGUCCACGCCGUAAACGAUGAGUACUAGUUAUUGGAGGUAUUGACUCCUUCAGUGACGCAGCUAACGCAUUAAGUACUCCGCCUGGGAGGUACGGUCGCAAGACUAAAACUCAAAGGAAUUGACGGGGGCCCGCACAAGCGGUGGAUUAUGUGGUUUAAUUCGAAGCAACGCGCAGAACCUUACCAAGGCUUGAAAUCCUAGGAAUCCGAUGUAAUGGUCGGAGUGCUCGCAAGAGAAUCUAGUGACAGGUGCUGCAUGGCUGUCGUCAGCUCGUGUUGUGAAAUGUUGGGUUAAGUCUCGCAACGAGCGCAACCCCUAUCUUUAGUUGCCAGCAUUAAGUUGGGCACUCUAGAGAGACUGCCCGGGUUAACCGGGAGGAAGGUGGGGAUGACGUCAAGUCCUCAUGGCCCUUAUGCCUUGGGCUACACACGUAAUACAAUGGUGCAUACAAAGAGAAGCGACCCGGCGACGGUAAGCAAAUACCCAAAAACGUAGACAUCUCAGUCCGGAUUGGU
rnacentral:rRNA from 1 species